AUUUAAUAUGAUUUUGUUAUGUUUCUAGCAGGCCUUUUUUGAUCGUACGUCAUGAACUCAUGAUGCUUAAAAAAAAUCGAUUUGUCAUCUUUUUCUUUUAUUUUAUGCAAAAAGGGCAAAGGUAAUAUAUACACGUACGUCGUAGCCACGUAGGGGUGAUAUGGAAAAUUUGGAUGCAUAGCUAUCGUAUCCAAAAUAUGCAAAACUGAUACCGAGAUUGUUUAUGCGUUAAGGAACGCAUACAAAACUGAUACCGAGAUUGUUUAUGCGUUAAGGAACGCAUUUCGGUCCACUUAGUAUAUGUAUUAAUAAGACUAGUCACUUGUCGCUCUAUAUGCAUGAAAGUUUCUCAAAAGCAUGAGCUUACGUAGCAGAAGCAUCCUAUUCCGUGAACCUUUCCACUUGGAGGCUAAGUAGUGUUCAACCAUGGCUCAUGAUUUGGUAUCAGUUAGGGUUUUUUAGAGAAAGAUUUGCUACUGCACUUGUCCACCUUUCUGUUGAAUACACUUGGCCCAUCCUUUUUCUUCUUUGUCUUUCUGGUAUCUAGAAAGGUGAAAGAAAGAAAAUUAGAAUCUUUAUCUUCAUGCAGCAUUAGCCCCAAAGAAAGGAAUCAAGGA
rnacentral:lncRNA from 7 species